ACGCUGAAAAAGGCCCACCUUAGCCUUGUUUAUCUUAACAGAGAAGAACACUGGGCAAGGAAAAAAGUGUGAUAUUAUAAGAUAAGAACGAAACUCCUCAGUAAGUAGAAGGAUUGGAUGGGAGCAAUUCAAGUCAAGCUAGACAAGUUCUCUGAGAUCUUCUCUUUUGGUUACUCUCAUAUGUGGGGAAACUAUUGAACUUAUACUUGAUUCGGAAUAGACAAGAUUGAUGUACUAAUAUCUACAAAUGAAAUAUUUAACGACUUUAUAUA